rnacentral:snRNA from 1 species
GUCUUCGGACAUCUGGUCAAUUUGAAACAAUACAGAGAAGAUUAGCAUGGCCCCUGCACUAAGGAUGACACGCUCUUAUCAAAGAAAGCUAUCUGUUUUU